rnacentral:rRNA from 1 species
AUUGAACGCUGGCGGCGUGCCUAACACAUGCAAGUCGAGCGGUAACAGGCGUAGCAAUACGUGCUGACGAGCGGCGAACGGGUGAGUAAUGCUUUGGAAUCUUCCCAGUAGUGGGGAAUAACCAGUCGAAAGAUUGGCUAAUACCGCAUACGUCCGAGAGGGGAAAGCGGGGGACCGUAAGGCCUCGCGCUAUUGGAUGAGCCAAAGUCGGAUUAGCUUGUUGGUGAGGUAAUGGCUCACCAAGGCGACAAUCCGUAGCUGGUCUGAGAGGACGACCAGCCACACCGGAACUGAGACACGGUCCGGACUCCUACGGGAGGCAGCAGUGGGGAAUAUUGGACAAUGGGGGAAACCCUGAUCCAGCGACGCCGCGUGUGUGAAGAAGGCCUGCGGGUUGUAAAGCACUUUUAGUGGGGACAAAAAGCCAGGGGCUAACACCAUCUGGUCUUGAUUUAACCCACAGAAAAAGCACCGGCUAACUCUGUGCCAGCAGCCGCGGUAAGUGACGU